GAUGAACGCUGGCGGCGUGCCUAAUACAUGCAAGUCGAGCGAACAGAUGAGGAGCUUGCUCCUCUGACGUUAGCGGCGGACGGGUGAGUAACACGUGUAUAACCUACCUAUAAGACUGGGAUAACUUCGGGAAACCGGAGCUAAUACCGGAUAAUAUAUUGAACCGCAGUGUUGAAUAGUGAAAGACGGUGUUGCUGUCACUUAUAGAUGGAUCCGCGCCGCAUUAGCUAGUUGGUAAGUUAACGGCUUACCAAGGCAACGAUGCGUAGCCGACCUGAGAGGGUGAUCGGCCACACUGGAACUGAGCCACGGUCCAGACUCCUACGGGAGGCACCAGUAUGGAACCGUCCGCAAUGGUCGCAAGCCUGACGGAGCAGCGCCGAGUGAGUGAUGAAGGUCUUCGGAUCGUAAAACUCUGUUAUUAGGGAAGAACAAAUGUGUAAGUAACUAUGCACGUCUUGACGGUACCUAAUCAGAAAGCCACGGCUAACUACGUG
rnacentral:rRNA from 1 species